rnacentral:lncRNA from 13 species
CACAGGCACCCUCUGAGUGGUGAAGUCCAUCCCCUUCCACCCCCAGCAAUGAUUUGGCCAAUGCCUGUGGAGCUGAUGGAGUAGACUAGUCCACUGUCACAACUUAGGGGGGACCUGUAUUGUAAAGCCCUGAGCUGUACGAGUUCUGCUAGGAGCACACAUAGCUGUCCUUAAUACCCCUGGCAUGGUGGGUGGCCAUGUUUUUACUCUGCCACACCACUGCUGUCCCUGUCAAGACCUCUUGGCGCACGAUGGAAAAGACUACUAACACAAACAAACACUGGAGCCAACACACACAGAGCCAACACACACACAAACACCUGUGGAGUCCCGCAGUCACCCCGGGACAGCCAACCAACCAUGAGGCACAACAUCCCAAACAACUGAGAAAUGAUGGUGACUUAAUUGUUUUGUUAACAGUCAGAACUGCCCGGCAACACCAGAACACCAGCCCCUGGGAACAAUCCGGACCAUGGAGGCACAGAUUCCAGAGAGUCAGCAUGUGUGUGUGUGUGUUGUUCGUGUGUGCGUGCGUGCGUGCGUGCUUGUGUGUGUGAGCAUGCGUGCCUCAAUGAGCUGAAUGAGUGGCAGGCCUAACCUAAGCCCACUUUAUAGCAAUGUGUGGGAAGCGAGCCGCAAGCUCUUCCUCUGUCUUUUUUCAACGCAAGUGAUUACCACUGCGGAAAUGCUAAUGGCUGUUUGGAUAGCCGUGGACCAGGGAUGAAGCAUUUGUUUUACUUGGUGAUCCUCGUCUGGCUAACAGGGCCGCCAGUCUGUUGUUUUUAAAUUACAGGGGGAUAUCGCUGCUUCAGCAAAGGUACCCUAGUCCACCAAAAACACCCCCUUCUCCAGAAGUGCUGAGUUUUACAAAUGAUGGAACUUCUUUGUUUAUGAGUGUUUGUGUGUGUGCGUGUGUAUGUGUGUGUGUGUGUGUGUGUGUGCAUGCAUGCGUGUGCGCAGCUCGUGUUGUCAAACCGAGCCCACCUGAUUUAUGAUUAAAACAAUAUUGCUACAAAUCACUUUGGAAAGACUUACGUUCGCUGCUCUGUUUUCUCCUCCACUGAUAAACGAGCCAGAUUAGUUGAAGUCCGUGUAAAGCGCUGGUGUGUGUUGUAAAGGGCGGGGUCGUACGGUUGAUGGACUACAUGUCUAAGCAGACAUCAGGUUGAAGCAGUCCAGUGAGGCCCAGUCUGACAGACACGGGUAUAUACAGAUAGACACGUUUCUGUACAGAGGAAUGGGCCACGCGGUUCACUCAGCUUUUUUUCUCAUGGGCUGUGUCUGAAUUGGCAUUACUUUUGACCAGACCUCCUAUGGGCUCUAG